GACAGAGGGUGCAAACGUUGUUCGGAAUUACUGGGCGUAAAGCGCGUGUAGGCGGCCCUGCAAGUCGGAUGUGAAAUCCCACGGCUCAACCGUGGAAGUGCAUUCGAAACUGCAGGGCUAGAGUCCUGGAGAGGAAGGUGGAAUGCUUGGUGUAGAGGUGAAAUUCGUAGAUAUCAAGAGGAACACCUGAGGUGAAGACGGGUUGCUGGGCUGACACUGACGCUGAGGCGCGAAAGCUAGGGGAGCAAACAGG
rnacentral:rRNA from 1 species